GGAGCUAACCAGCGCCGGCCCCGCCCAGCCCCGCGCGGGCGGGGGGCGGGAGCGAAGAGUCGGCGGGGGACGUGGGUCCGGGCGGUAGCGGGAGGGAAGCGGGGAAGCGCUCGCCAGCCAAUCGCGUGCGCCGUGCCCAACGUGGGUUGCUGACGCAACGCCUCCCCGAAGCCUAUAGCAGUGCGGCACUGGACGGGCCGUCCUCCCCCUUCUCUCCCACCCCACUCGCUUCCAUCUCCGCCGUCUCCCCGGUCUCCCCUCCCACCCCCUACCCCUCCUCCGCCAGCCGCGUCCUCCCGGGCUCGGUGAGGAACUGUUCCUGGAGGAGCCGCGGGACGCCGAAACCAGCCAAUGGGAAGAGGCGAGACGCGGAGAUUGGCACGGUGGAUGGGAAGAUCACAAGUAGGCAGAGAGGAGGCAGCAGGCUCCCCACUGAGCAGAGAACCCGAUGCGGGGCUCGAUCCCAGGACCCUGAAAUCAUGACCCGAGCCAAAGGCAAAGGCUUUAACCCACUGAGCCACCCAGGCCAAAGCGCAGCUUUUGCAAGGCUCCCUGCCCUGAAGGGGAAAGGCCCCCAGGCGGAGGGCAGUACCUGGGACCCUGUCUAAGGGUAUUAGAUGACCUGCAGGUUCUCAGACUGUGCUUCCCAGACCAGCAGCAUUAGCAUCACCUGGGAACUUUUUAGAAAUGAAAAUGCUGGGGCCUCACCCUGGACCUACUCAAAAAGAAACUUCGACGUGGGGACCCACAAUUUGGUUUUGACAAGGAGGUCAUCUCGAAUGUGAGAACCACUGCUGCUGUGCUCCUCGUGUGAAAUGGAUCCAGGCCCCAAAGGCAGGAACGGAGAAGGACUGGCAAAGCAAGGCAUUUUCAGCAGAAUGCUGAACAUAAAUAAAGAUGUGAGGUGUCCAGCUGAAGUAAAGCAAAGUUCACAUUGGGAAGUCACACGAAGUGAACAUGGAAUAAGGAAGAGCUAGAUUAAGGACUUCAAAUGGAAACCCAUGAUCCCUUCUGCAAGGAUCUUCACCUGGGGUGUUUUAAAAUUUCUUUUUCUCAUUUUCUUUGCCCUUCUCGUGCUCGUAGUAUCUGCACAGCUUGUUCUCCUGGCUCUAGCUAAUUCUUGGUCCUCUGACAGCAGAAAGCAGUGAUCAGACAGGUUGAAUGAUUCAAUGGAAAUGUAAUCUGAUCUCAUUUUAGCCACAUGUAAGAAGCAACCUGCUGUGAACCGGAAUUGUAAUGCUGGGAAUUAUCUGAUUCCUGCAGCCCUCUCUUCUUUCUCUGACCUGGUGAAUGAUGGCUAAGGAAAUUUAAAGCAUGUAAAACAUGGUAAAUGUUGAUUUGUUGACUUGGCCAUUGAACCGGACACCUUGCCUUCUUGCAGGUAAAACUAAAGAUCACAAUUUCUAGAUUUUAUUUGUAAGGGCCAAGCAUUGAAGUACUUCUCAAUUCAGAUAGGUCUUCUUUUCCUUUAAACUAUACUUCCAGCUUUGGGGCCAGGUACAAAAGCAAAGCAAAACAGCAACCAAAAAGCGAAGGGAUCUCCUUUGCCCACCUGAGCUGCAAAGAGAGGUGACCUGCAGAACAGAGUUGACAUGAUGUGAUGGUUCAGUUCCCGGAUAUGAAGGAAAGGAAUCCUCUGCCACUGGCUAAGGAAGAUCAGUUACAAAGCAGGAAAACUGAGAACUGGUAGAAGUAGAGAAACUUACAGGAAACUUACAGGAGAGAAAAACUGGACAUAAAAUUAAAAGAAACAGAAAACACACUUGUUACACUGCUGGCCCCCAGUAAUCACCUCUGCCUACAUUUGCCCUUGUGGAGUCCUUGCUAUUUGAACUGGAGUAGGGCCCGUGACAUUCUGACUGACUAGAGGUGGCUGUGUGAUGCCAUGCCCUUUCCUGUGUCUAUAUGGGAAGCCUUAAGAUGCUGUGCUUCUGGGUUCUGAGCCCUGAUCUACUUUAUAAGGACUCUGAUGGAGUUUUGUGGAGAGGCCAUAGGAGAAAAGCCCAGCCAUUCGGUGCCCAGCCAAGCCCAGGCCCCUGACCAUCAGCUGAAUGAAUCCAUAGAGUGACCAUUGGCAAGAUCAACAGAAGAUUACCUGGCUAAGCCCAGCCCAGACUACAGAAUUGUGAGGAAAUAAAAUGGCCAUUGUUUUAAACCAGGAGGUUUUGGGCUUGUUUGUUCUAUCACAAAACAUAACAAUUGGUAUGAUAGUGGAGGAGGAAGCAUCCAAGACCAAGCCCAGGGUCUCUUCUGUCUGGGACAGCCUGGUGUGGAGGGAAGAUGCAGGCCUAGGACCACAACAAGCUUGGGUCAUAGCCUCAUUUUUUAGCUUUUUGCUUUUUGAACUGGGGCAAGUUAUUCAGUCUUUCAGGGCCUCAGUUCUGUUUUCUGUAAAAUGAGAAAAAUAUUUCUUCCCUCACAGGAGCAUUGAGAAAUGAAAGGAGUGAAAGUUUGGGGCACAUAUUAAGUAUCCACCAGACAGGAGUUCUGUUCCAUUUCCUCCUUACGGUUCCUUCCCUCACUCCCCCACCCCCUACUAAGGGCUGACCUAAACUACAUUGACUCGUGUGUGUGUGUGUGUGUGUGUGUGUGUGUGUUACAUUAAUCACCAUAAAAUACAUCAUUAGUUUUGCUGCAGUGUUCCAAGAUUCACUAUUUAUGUACAGCACCCAGUUCUCCAUGAAAUCUGUGCCCUCCUUAAUACCCACCACCAGGCUCACCCAUCCCCCCCACCCAAAACCCUCAGUUUGUUUCUCGGAGUCCAUAAUCUUUCAUCCUUUGUCUCCCUAUCCGAUUUCCCCUAUUUUACUUUUCUUUCCUUUUCUUAAUGUCUUCCAUGUUAUUCUUUAUGCUCCACAAGUAAGUGAAACCAUAUGAUAAUUGACUUUCUCUCCUUGACUUAUCUCACUCAGCAUAAUCUCCUCCAGUCCUGUCCAUGUUGCUACAAAAGUUGGGUAUUCAUCCUUUCUGAUGGAGGCAUAAUACUCCAUUGUAUAUAUGGACCAUAUCUUCUUUAUCCACUUGUCUGUUGAAGGGCCUCUCAGCUCUUUCCAUAGUUUGGCUAUUGUGGACAUUGCUGCUAUGAAAAUUGGGGUACAUAUGGCCCUUCAAUUCACUACAUCUGUAUCUUUGAGGUAAAAGCGUAAUUGCCAGCUCAUAGAGUAGCCCUAUUUUUAAUUUUUUGAGGCAUCUCCACACUGUUUUCAAAGUGGUUACAAACAACUUGCAUUCCCACCAAUAGUGUAAGAGGGUUCCCCUUUCUCCACAUCUUCUCCAACAUUCGUUGUUUCCUGCCUUGGUAAUCUUGGAUAUUCUAACUGGUGUAAGGUGACAUCUCAGUGUGGUUUUGAUUUGAAUUUCCCUGAUGGCUAAUGAUCAACAUUUUUUCAUGUGUCUGAUAACCAUUUGUAUGUCUUCAUUGGAGAAGUGUCUGUUCAUGUCUUCUGCUCAUUUUUUGACAUGAUUAUCUGUUUUUUGGGGGUUGAAUUUGAGAAGUUCUUUUUAGAUCCUGGAUAUCAGCCCUUUGUCUGUAGUGUCAUUUGCGAGUAUCUUCUCGCAUUCUGUGGGUUGCCUCUUUUUUUGUUGACUGUUUCCUUUGCUGUGCAGAACCUUGUUAUCUUGAUGAAGUCCCAAAAGUUCAUAAUCACUCUUGUUUCCUUUGCCUUUGAGACGUGUCUUGAAAGAAGUUGCCAUAGCCAAUGUCGAAGAGGUUACUGCCUAUGUUCUCCUCUAGGAUUUUGAUGGAUUCCUGUCUGACAUUGAGGUCUUUCAUCCGUUUUGAGUAUAUCUUUUUGUAUGGUGAAAGAGAAUGGUUGAGUUUCAUUCUUCUAUACAUAGGUGUCCGAUUUUCCCAGCACCAUUUAUUGAAGAGACUGUCUUUUUGGAUAUUUUUUCCUACUUUGUCAAAGAUUUGACCAUAGAAUUGAGGGUCCAUAUCUGGGCACUCUACUCUGUUCCACUGGUCUGUGUGUCUGUUUAUUUGCCAGUACCAUGUUGUCUCGGUGAUUACAGCUUUGUAAUAAAACCUUGAAAUCAGGCAACGUGAUGCCCCUAGCCUUUUCUUUUUCAACAUUUCCUUAGCGAUUUGGGUUUUUUUCUGGUUCCAUACAAAUUUUAGGAUGGUUUGUACCAGCCCUUUGAAAAAUUCUGGUGGAAUUCUGAUCAGGAUGGCAUUGAAAGUAUAGAUUGCUCUGGGCAGCAUAGACAUUUUAACAAUGUUUAUUCUUCUGAUCCAUGAGCAUAGAAUGCUUUCUCAUCUUUUGUGUCUUCAGUUUCUUUCAUGAGUGUUCUGUAGUUUCUUGAGUAUAGAUCCUUUACCUCUUUGGUUAGGUUUAUUCCAAGGUAUCUUAUGGUUUUUGGUGCCAUUGUAAAUGGAAUCGAUUCUCUAAUUGCCCUUCCCACAUUUUCAUUGUUAGUGUAUAAGAAAGCAGCUUAUUUCUGUGAAUUGAUUUUGUAUCCUGCCACAUUACUGAAUUGCUAAAUGAGUUCUAAUAAUUUGGGGAUGAAGUCUUUUGGGUUUUCCACAUAAAGUAUCAUGUCCUCUGCAAAGAGAGAGAGUUUGACUUCUUUGCCAAUUUCAAUACUUUUUACUUCUUUUCUUUGUCUGAUUGCUGUUGCUAGGAAUUCUAGUUCUGUGUUGAACAACAGUGGCGAGAGUGGGCAUCCUUGUUGUAUUCUUGAUCUCAGUGGGAGGGCUCUCAGCUUUUCCCCAUUAAGAAUGAUAUUUGCUGUGAGUUUCUCAUAGAUGGAUUUUAUGAAGUUGAGCAAUGGUCCCUCUAUCCCUAUAUUUUGAAGAGUUUUAGUCAGGAAAUGAUGCUGUCUUUUGUCAAAUGCUUUUUCUGCAUCAAUUGAGAGGACAAUGUGAUUCCUCUC